rnacentral:rRNA from 1 species
GAGCGGUAACAGGUGUAGCAAUACAUGCUGACGAGCGGCGAACGGGUGAGUAAUGCUUCGGAAUCUGCCCAAUGGUGGGGAAUAACCAGCCGAAAGGUUGGCUAAUACCGCAUGAGCCCUACGGGGGAAAGCAGGGGAUCGCAAGACCUUGCGCCGAUGGAUGAGCCGAAGCCGGAUUAGCUAGUUGGUAGGGUAACGGCCUACCAAGGCGACGAUCCGUAGCUGGUCUGAGAGGACGACCAGCCACACUGGGACUGAGACACGGCCCAGACUCCUACGGGAGGCAGCAGUGGGGAAUAUUGGACAAUGGGGGCAACCCUGAUCCAGCGACGCCGCGUGUGUGAAGAAGGCCUGCGGGUUGUAAAGCACUUUUAGUGGGGAUGAAAAGCUCAGGGCUAACACCUCUGGGUCUUGACCCAACCCACAGAAAAAGCACCGGCUAACUCUGUG